GGCCGCGUGGCUCAAUGGUAGAGCAUCUGUCUUCGGAACAGAAGGUUGAGGGUUCGAGCCCCUCCGUGGUCA